rnacentral:lncRNA from 1 species
GGACUGUUCAAUCAUAUUGUGCUCUGAUGUGUUCAUGGAUGCAGGAUACAUUGAGCAGUAACUGCUAAAUGCCAACUUUCUUGAAGCAAAAAGUAUUUUCGAUUGUUUGCUGCUGUUGCUGUAAACUUCCUUGACCAAUUUCUUUACCGAACUCCUCUGUUUUGGCUGUCUCACUCCCCAUGUGAGUAACCUUUCAGAACACACUGACUUCAGUGUUAAAUUUCUCUUAUGGUAAAAGUGAUUAGGUGGAUUCAUAGUUGGCAGGUCAUAAGUGCACAGCAGAAGGACUGGGCAUAAAUGUAUGCUCUAACAUCCUUAAUGGAUCAGUUGUGGAUGCAGGGGGAAUGCAAGGGAAGGGACUUUGCAGUUUCCAGGCUGACAUGCUCUCUCUAAAAAUCAUCCCCUGUUGCUCCCAUCAGGGAGAAAAUCCUGGUUAGACAGACUAUUAGUCUUGUGUGGUAAGGCAUUUCUUCUUCUUAAUAGUAUCGUGGAGUAGGUGUUUCUCAGUCUUAAAAACCAAGCUGCUCAGGUUUCUCAGGCUCAUUUCUACUAACUGCUCCUGUCAGCAGGAAUAAGUUAAAAUUUUCAUAAAACAUGGAGGAAAUGCUUUUGCAUUUAUUUUUUCCAUUAGCACUGAUAUCUAGAGCCAUUUUUCCCUUGCAGGAACAAGUGCUAUAAGCCAAGUCCACCUUCUCUAAAUCCUUAUUCUUUUGCCUUGUAAUGAGUGGCAGUUCAAUUAUUUCAGCACCAUGAAGCUAUUUGGGAUGCCAUAGCACAUAUAUUCAUAUAUAUGCACUUCAGUAGUUAAAGCUGACCAGGGCAGCGAUGUGAAGUGGUGCAGUCUAUUCCUAGAAACAGGAAUAGCAAAGUGGCUAUAAUUGAAUGAUUGGAAUGUGAUAGCUGUUGGGUUUUGCUGUUGAGUGCAUUAAUAAACAAUAACCACUAAAAUGGAAAGGUGUAGCCAUAUACACACACGUGUUUCUUACCGCAGCAUUUGAAUAAAGUACAGAAUACAUAGAGGAAAGUAUUUUGUUGUUUCUGUGCACACAGAAGUCUGGGAUAUUUUCUUGUGAAGUUCACAGUGGAGUACCAGAUUGUUUUGAAUUUGCUUUGAAAACUACACCAUGGUAAAUUGCACUUGUUGCUGGAGUUGCUAAUGAUACCUAGAAACCUUAUAUUAAUCACUAAAAUCCACAAGCCCUUGAACAAGCAAACAAAUCAAAGAAGUAAUGGAUUAGCUUGUUACGCUGUCCUGCAUGACUUGUUUUUCAGUAUGCUUACGGGGAUUGCUUUCUGCUGCCCACGGGUUAUUUAAUCCUUUUUUAACACAGAAAUUUGGUGGAAAAAGCUACUAAAUCUCCUUUUCUAAAACAGGUCUUCAUUGUUUAUCAUGGAACAAUUAAAAUGAAUGUGACUAUCUGUUUAUGAAGGCACUAAAGCUUGUAAUACCUUUCUUGUUUGUUUUGGAUUUCAAUUAAAGUUUUUUUUGAGGGCUACUAGUGCCAGGUAGGAAAUAAAGGACUUUUGAAGCAGAAGCUGUAUGGGUUUGUAAUUUUUUUGUUUGCAUUUUAGGAUUAAACUAUGAUUACAAAGUAGACUUGUCUUCAAACAGCACCAGAACAGUAACUGUAGUGUUUCAGUUACAUGUCUUGUUCAGUCAGUAAAAUUCAUGAACUUUCAGUACUUGUACAUCAGAAGAUAAUUUUAGUGAUACUAUGUAGACAUCUAUAGUGGUUUUUAUCAGAGUCCUUUGCUGUAAGUAUUGAGUAUUUCUGAUAUUCUGUAUUUCACAGCGAAAUACAAUGACAUUUUUUGGUUACUACUGCUGAAGAGUAAAUACGCUCUUCAUGUUUCAUACCAGUGCUUGAACAAAUAAAUAUUUACUGCUUUAUCAUGAAAGGCUUCCAAACCUUCCAGGUUGCAGCUGGUGAGAGAGGUCACAUUUAUAUCUGAGAAGAGAUUGAUUGGUCCUGCUGGCUCUGCUAUAAUUUGGUUAUUACCCAUUGCCCAAUCAAUACUGUGCAAAUUGAAAACCCCAAGUCCAGGCAGGAGUGAAACACUUGCUUUCUCUGGUCAGCCAUAACUGAAGGGGCUGCUGCCUGUCUCAAACAGAAAAGCUCUUGCUUUCAUCUGUGGUCUGUAGUGGAAGGACAAAAGGAGAGACUUUCAAAAGAAGUAAUGAGAAUCAGGAGCCAAAAUCCCAUUGACUUUUAAUGAAGGUUAGGGGCAGAUGCUUUUGUUGUGCAUCAGAAACGUCCUCUUUCUCAAUUGUUGAGAUUGCUGAUGGUGGAUGAGAUCUGCCUGUGCUACCUUUUGGGCUCCUAAAGGAACAAAAGUUACCUUGAGUUAUGUUUGCUGUGUGGCCCAAGCUAAACACAGAUCCCCUUUGCUUGUUUUCAUGAGGAACGACCAGUAAUCCCACCCCCACCUUUGUCCUUCUCCUCUGUGUGCUUCAGAGCCUCUUGACAGAUAGAAGCACUGAGAACUUAUUGCUUGGUUACUCUGUGCUGCAGCAUAGGGCAUCUUCAGAAAACAAAGUGAAGAUUUUCCCAAAGUUAAGUUUUUCUGUUGUGUGAGAGAAACUUUAUCUGGUUACCUGCAAGAGAUGCUGCAAAGAUCUCUGUCAAACAGUGUUGGAAGUACCUUCCACGUGCUACACUGUGGCUGUGCUUACAGGAAAGUUAGUUUAAUGAUUAAAAUACUUCCCUGCCUGAAAAAGUCAUCUCCUUAAUUUUUCUUCGAUAAUAUGUGAAGCUACUGUAAUAACUUACACAUUUUACAGUAAUGCCAGUCACAGCCUUGGAAGAAAUGCUGCUAGGAUAGGUUUUUGGUUUUUAAAUUUUUAAAAGACAUUUAGAUCUUCCUUGCCAGGCAUGUUUUUUGCAUGCUGACAGGAAGGUGCCCCCUUCUUUUGAUGAUGAGGAUUGGUUGGUACACACACACACUUGCAAAAUGCUCUGCAAAGUGCCCACGCAGCCUUCCAGUUGUGACUCUGGUACUCAGGGAAUAGGGUCACAGC